UUGUAUAUAUGAAAAGGAUUUUGUGUUAGUAUGUUAGAAUUCAUUAGGGUAGAUUACUGAAAAGGGGUGGUUAAAAGUAAAGUAGGAAAUAGAUAUUUUUAAUAUUUGUACCUUUUGUAUAAUGUUUUGUUUAGAAGAUAAGUGGUUAUUGAUUCUCGAAUUUUAAAGAUCUAUAAGUAAGAGGAGUUAAUGUAGAAAAAUUAUUCCUAAUUUACUUAUAGGAGUGAUAUUCUUGUCGUUUUAAAGGAUAGCUAGUUUAUUAGGAGAGAGGUUUUGCCUUUUUAAAUGAUUUAAGUUGAAUAAAAAGGGUAAUCUUUUUUAUGUUAUAUAAAUAUAGGUGUAUAGUAUGGGUAUUUGUAGACUUGAAAAUAGUUUUUAAAAGGAGUAUGUUGUUAUUUAUAUCAGACAUAUUGGAAAAUAAUUAGAGUGUUUUAUUUUUGUACUAAGAGUAGGUCAAGAAUCUCGGGGUUAUUUAUUUAUGAUAAAAUUAGUAUUGUUAUUGUUAUGUAAGUUAGAAGUUGUCUUUUGGUAAAAGGGGUAGAAUAGGAAAAUGGAUUUAUGAAUUCGGCAAAAAAAGUUUCGACUGUUUAUCAAAAACAUUUUUUUUUGUAAACAUAAAAAAUAGAGCCUGCACAAUGAUUUAAAUUGCCGUGGUAUUUUGACCAUGCUAAGGUAGCAUAAUCAUUUGGUUUUUAAUUGAGAUCUGGCAUGAAGGGUUGAACGAGAGCUUUCCUUUAUUAAUCUAUUGGUAAAAUUUAAUUUUUAGGUGAAGAAGCCUAAAUGAAAGAAAAGGACAAGAAGACCCUAUCGAGUUUUAUUAUUUUAGUAUAUACAUAUACAGCAGAAAUUUGGUUGGGGCAACCAAAGAAUUAACUUCUUUUUAGAGUGGUUGAAGUAGGUAAAGAAUUUUUUAAAAAAUGAGGAAGUUACCGUAGGGAUAACAGCAUUAUUUUUUUUUAGAGCUCUAAUCGAAAAAAAAGUUUGUGACCUCGAUGUUGGACUAAGAUAACCUUAGGGAGUAGAAAUUCUAGGGGGUUGGUCUGUUCGACCAUAAAAAUCUUACAUGAUCUGAGUUCAGACCGGCGUGAGCCAGGUUGGUUUCUAUCCUUUACAAGAGUAGUUUAUGUUAGUACGAAAGGAUUAUAUAAAUUUUUU
rnacentral:rRNA from 1 species